AUUGAACGCUGGCGGAAUGCUUUACACAUGCAAGUCGAACGGCAGCACGGACUUCGGUCUGGUGGCGAGUGGCGAACGGGUGAGUAACAUAUCGGAACGUAUCCAAUAAUGGGGGAUAACUAAUCGAAAGGUUGGCUAAUACCGCAUACGCCCUGAGGGGGAAAGCUAGGGAUCUUCGGACCUGGCGUUAAUGGAGCGGCCGAUAUCUGAUUAGCUAGUUGGUGGGGUAAAGGCCCACCAAGGCGACGAUCAGUAGCUGGUCUGAGAGGACGACCAGCCACACUGGAACUGAGACACGGUCCAGACUCCUACGGGAGGCAGCAGUGGGGAAUUUUGGACAAUGGGCGCAAGCCUGAUCCAGCCAUUCCGCGUGAGUGAAGAAGGCCUUCGGGUUGUAAAGCUCUUUCAGCAGGAACGAAACGGCGAGUUCUAACAUAGCUCGUUAAUGACGGUACCUGAAGAAGAAGCACCGGCUAACUACGUG
rnacentral:rRNA from 1 species